UCCACUUUGCAUUAGCAGCUCAUGCUUCAGCGCUCUGCGAGUGUUUAUAGCCCUGUGACUUUAACACUUCAUGACUGAGAGCUGCUGCUCAGCGACUUCACCCACAGCAACCAUGAGUUUGAUCAGCGUCUUCAUCUGCACACUGGCCCUCUGCGCUCGAGGAUCCAGAGGUCAGGUGACUGUGACUCAGAGUCCUGCAGUGAAAUCAGUUUCUCCAGGAGACACACUCACCAUCAGCUGUAAAACGAGUCCUGCUGUUAAUACUAACUGUGGUGGGAGCAAUAACUGUUUCUCCUGGUAUCAGCAGAAACCUGGAGAAGCUCCUAAACUCCUGAUCUAUGAUGCUGACACUAGAGAAUCAGGUAUUCCAUCACGUUUCAGUGGCAGUGGAUCUGGAUCUGAUUUCACUCUGACCAUCAGUGGAGUCCAGACUGAAGAUGCUGGAGAUUAUUACUGUCAGAGUGCACAUUCUAUCAGUAGUAGCGGAGUGUUCACACAGUGUUAGAGCGUCGUACAAAAACCUGUGUGAGUGUGACUGCUGCAGCUGGGACCUACUGCAGGUGCUGAGGGACACACACACACACACACACACACACACUACAGUAAGUGUAUAUGAUGCAGCUGACUUUGCUGAAACAUACAGCUGUGUGUCAUUAGCCUAGCAGUGGAAGCUAACAGCAUGUUAAUGAGACAGCUCUGUUCUAGACCCAGUGCUUUUUCCCUCUACAUGCUACCUCAGGGUAAAAUGAUUCACACAGCAACACAGUAACCUAUCGAAAAAAACACCAUUUUUACCACAUCUGUUAAAAAACUAAACUGGAACAUUCUUUCAAUCUAACAACUUUUUUCCAGCUCUGGUGUAUACAGCUUUAAUAAAGCUUUACUCAAAGUUCAGUCUUUGUCAGGAUGAUAUACUGCACGUGAAGCUGUGGAUUAUAAUUCACAACGACAGUGAUGAAGAGGAGAGAAGCUGACAGUGUCAGAGGUUGAGGAUGUAUAACCCAAGGAGGAAGGCCCCCGACACUGAUGAGGAAGAAGACCCAGCUGAUAUUGUAGCCUCCUUUUGGUAAAAAAAAAUGGAACCAAACCCUAACACUUACCAGAUAUGCCAUAUCCCAAGUGGGUGACAUCAAGUAAACUUUUCCUCAUGGACUUUAUUGAUACCGUUGUCAUGAACAUGACAAACCUGGAGGGAAGAAGGGUUUAUGGAAACACCUGAAACACACACCUGGUGAAUAUUGAAGCCUACAGUACGUGGUUGUGUUGAUUUUGGUUGAUGUCUACAGAUCAUGCAAGGAACCUGCAUCCAGCUUAUGGGAUGUGGACACUGAUCAGGCAAUUUUUCACUCUACAAUGUCUUUGCAGACCUUCCAUAUCCUCAUUCACUUUAAUUACCACCACACAAGAGCAGCCCAAAGUCAACGAGACAAGCUGGGAAGUUUGGCAGAAGUGGGUGGAGCUCCUGCCAAUCAUUUACAAAACAGAUCCUGACAUCACUGUUGAUGAGCAUCUCGACAGUUUUAGGACACGGUACCCAUUUAAGCUGUAUAUGCCAAACAUACUAUCAAAGUAUGGUAUAAAAAUAUGUGCAGCAUGUGAUGUAAAGACAUGUUAUGCCCGGAACAUGUCAAUGUACAGCAAGGCUACUUUAAAAUUGUAAAUUUAUUCAUACAGUGUAUGGGUCAAGCAAUAUAUUUAUAAUAAAAGUACUGCUUCUCCAAUACUUGUCCCAACUAUUGAGGUGUUUGGCCAGGUGGCACAUGUAAUUUGCCAAUUAGCUCAUGUACUGUCAUUUUGAAUGGCAGUGUUUUGUAAUGGCAAGCAUGUGACUUUAUGUCAGCUUGUUGUGUCUUAUGCAGACAACUGUUUUCAGUGCAUUUAAAAUAGUGUCAAUUGGAAAUGCAAAAUUGUACAGGUGUGAACAGUGUCCAAUGCAUUCUAAUGAAACAUUAUUAUCUGACCUCACCUUGGUCAAUUGCCAUGUGCUGCUGUCCAGAAAAAACAAAACAUUAACCAUAGUAAAUUUAUCAUGUCUUUUUAUUGUUCCACAUGGUCACAAAACAACUACAGUGGAAGCAAAGAUUUUUACAGCAAAGAUUUUUAAUAAAUUUUGACUUGAAAAACGAGCGUUGUCUUGGUUUACGAGCACCGAGUAUCAUGUAUAUCAUGUAUCAUGUAUAUGCGCUUUUUGUUUUGACCGAGCGUCACG